GGAGAAAGGAGGUGACCACCCUCAGAGGAACUUCAUGCUCUACAGUACAGUCCUUACUGCAUUUCGUGGUCUUGGAUCUCGGGAUUCAGUAUGCUUUUGAGUGUCACGUGGAGAAGUGUGGAAGGCGUUCCUCCAUGGAAGAGCGGUGACCGGAGCGUGAGCUGAUACCUGGCAGACAAGCUGGAUGUCAUUGCAACUGGUGGCGUAAGGAGAAGACAACAAGAUGCUUGUGUGGUUGUGCGUGCCGGGACUUGAUUGCGUCUUUUCUCAGACUACACUGUUUUUACUUGUACACAUGUAAAAUAAAUAUUGUUUGCUCAAUUUGAGAUAUCAGAAACUACUGUACAAGUCAGUUUUCACCUUACAGAAAAUAGAUUUUAGUGUCCCCAAAUGGACGGUACGAAAUCCUAAUGGGAUCUGAUGC